AUGUUCGGCGCUAGCAAUCCAUUUGGGCAGUCGUCCGCCAGCCCUUUCGGGCAGACCUCAACCAACCCCUUCGGGACCCAACAGGGCUUUGGCCAGCCCAGCACCACCACCAACAAUCCCUUCGCGCCCAAACCCUUCGGCAGCCCGACCCCCGCAUUCGGGGCGCCAACAGGGACCACCUCGCCCUUCGGCGCUACCUCCACCUUUGGCCAGCCAUCCGCUCCGGCCUUUGGCGCCACGUCCACUGGCGCCUUUGGCCAGCAGUCUGCCCCGGCCUUUGGCGCUACGUCCACUGGCGCCUUCGGCCAGCAAUCCACCCCUGCGUUUGGCUCUACAUCCACUGGCGCCUUCGGCCAGCAACCCGCGUUUGGUGCUACAUCGACCGGCGCCUUUGGCCAGCCAUCCACACCUGCAUUUGGCACCCCGUCCUCCUCUCCGUUUGGGAGCUCCACGCCAGCUUUUGGUACAUCGCCAGCCCCCGCGUUUGGCGCCACAUCCUCUAACAACUUUGGCGGUGGAUCUUUAUUCGGACAAAAGCCAAGCUUUGGUGGGUUUGGAUCAUCUCCUAGCCAGUCUAGUCCAUUUGGUAGCACAUUUCAGCAAACACAGCCAACAUUUGGCAACAGCACUUUUGGCACCACAACUACGCCGGCCUUUGGUACCACAACAACUCCAGCAUUUGGCUCCACAACGACUCCAGCAUUUGGCUCAACAUCAACAUCCUUAUUUGGUGGUGCUUCCAGCACCCCAGCAUUUGGUUCGACGCCCUUUGGUUCCACCACAACUCCUGGUUUUGGAUCUUCAGGUACCGGAGCAUUUGGUGUGAGUAGUGCUCCAGCUUUUGGAACUUCAACCACACCAGCAAGUGCUUUUGGUUUUGGUUCUUCACCGUCUUUUGGACAAUCAGCAGCUGCAACUGGUAGCAGCCUCUUCGGAACAACUUCACCCUUUGGAGCACAAACUUCUCCAUUUGGCUCGCAAACAGCUGCACCAGCAUUCGGGCAAACUACGUUUGGAAGUCAAUCUGGAGGAACCAGAAUACAGCCUUAUGUACAAACACCUGAUGCUGACACUGCUGCAAGUGGUUCUCAGCCUGCUGCAAAACUUGAUUCCAUAUCAGCCAUGCCUGCAUACAAAGAGAAGAGUCAUGAAGAAUUGAGGUGGGAAGAUUACCAGCGUGGGGACAAAGGUGGACCAAACUCUUCUGCAACUCCAGCAGUGAACAACUUCUUAUCUCCACAGCCAAGUUUCCAACCAAAUCAACCAGCACCAGUGAAUCCAUUUACUAACCCCUCACCCUCACCUUUUUCGAGUGCUUUUGCUACUACUCCGAACCCGUUUUCAUCGUCCACAACUACUACCUCCUCGUUUGGACAAACAAGUGGUUCUACCUUCCCAGCAAACACUUCAUCUUCUCUAUUUGGAAAUAAUUCCACUACUUCACUAUUCAACAACCCAAAUCCUUUCAAUGCUGGGUCAUCCACUAGUAAUAGCACUCAAUCAUCUGGGCUGUUUACGUCUUCCCCUACAAUGGGGCAGCAGCCAUUUGGCCACUCAUUUAACCAGCAAUCAAGCACUCCAGCUUUCUCCACCAGUAUGUUCAAUACAUCUAACAUCGGAAUCACUGGAGGUGGAGGGAUGUUUGGCAACACGUCUUCACCUUUUCAAACAUCAUCAUUUCAACAAUCUACCCCUGUUCAACCUACAAACUCGUUCUCAUUCCAACCUCAGACUCAACCAGCUUUGACAGGUGGAUUCUCUGGUGUUUCCAACCCGAUGAAUAUGGCUCCAUUCGGACAGCAAACUACUAGCCAGUCCAAUAUGGUAAUGCAGCCGACUCUUGUUUCAAAUCCCUUUGGGACCCUUCCAGCAAUGCCUCAGAUGUCCAUUGGGAAUGGUGGAUCCUCACCUUCUAUCCAAUAUGGGAUAUCAAGUUUGCCGGUUGCUGAGAAGCCCCUUCCGAGCAGAACAUUAUCAAUGGUGGUUCCUAGGCAUUUGUCACAGAGGAGGAUAAAGCUGCUGCCACGAAAAUAUAAUGCAACAUCUGAUGGCAAGGUUCCAUUCUUUGCUGAUGAUGAAGAAUCCCCUGUAACACCAAAAGCGGAUGCCUUUUUCAUCCCUAGAGAGAACCCAAGAAGUCUGAUAAUCCGUCCAACAGACCAGUGGCCUUCACGUAGUUUGGUUGGCCAACAAUCAAUUCCAAGGGAUUCAACUGAUAAUGACAAACAUAAAGAUGCUUUUGUUGGGAGGGAGCACAAUAAGGCUGCCAUGACACCAACUCGGUCUGGUACAGUGGGGAAUGGUAUCCACAUUGCAUCAAGCGAGCCUGGGGCUGUGGCUCGGCAUGUGAAUGGUGCUACUGUUGAGAAGAUGGUGCCUAGGCUCUCCCAGGCAGAUUACUUCAUGGAGCCCAGUCUAGAGGAGCUUGCUGCCAAAGAACGUGCUGAGCCAGGCUACUGUAGUCAGGUUGUAGACUUCAUUGUUGGGCGUGAAGGUUAUGGCAGCAUCAAAUUCUUGGGAGAAACUGAUGUGAGGGGCCUUGAUCUGGAGUCGAUUGUGGAAUUCAAUAACCGUGAAGUGAUUGUGUACAAGGACGAUAGCAAGAAGCCCCCAGUUGGCGAGGGCCUGAACAAAGCUGCUUUGGUGACCCUCCUGAACAUCAAGUGCAUGAAUAAGAAGACGGGUGAGCAGUACACGCAAGGGCCAAGGUUGGACAAGUUCAAGGAGAUGUUGGUGAAGAAGGCUGAGGAGCAGGGAGUGGAGUUUAUCUCGUUUGACGGUGCCAAGGGCGAGUGGAAGUUCAGGGUGAAGCACUUCAGCUCCUACGGUUUUGGUGAAGCCGAAGCCGACGACCUGGCCGAUUCCUUGUAG
rnacentral:rRNA from 1 species